UACGAAGGGGGCUAGCGUUGUUCGGAAUCACUGGGCGUAAAGCGCACGUAGGCGGAUGUGUCAGUCAGGGGUGAAAUCCCGGAGCUCAACUUCGGAACUGCCUUUGAUACAGCACGUCUUGAGUCCGAUAGAGGUGGGUGGAAUUCCUAGUGUAGAGGUGAAAUUCGUAGAUAUUAGGAAGAACACCGGUGGCGAAGGCGGCCCACUGGAUCGGUACUGACGCUGAGGAGCGAAAGCGUGGGGAGCGAACAGG
rnacentral:rRNA from 1 species